CCGAAACUGAUUUUUAGGCUUUUCUUAAAUGUGCUGUAGGUAGGAUUGUGAAGAUCCAGGAUUUAGCCAAAUAAUUUGAACAUCGACAACUUCUCAGACCCUACCCCCCUUUCUGCUAAAAUCC